UACGUAGGGUGCGAGCGUUGUCCGGAAUUAUUGGGCGUAAAGAGCUUGUAGGCGGUUUGUCGCGUCUGCCGUGAAAAUCCGAGGCUCAACCUCGGACUUGCGGUGGGUACGGGCAGACUAGAGUGUGGUAGGGGAGACUGGAAUUCCUGGUGUAGCGGUGAAAUGCGCAGAUAUCAGGAGGAACACCGAUGGCGAAGGCGGCAUUCUGGACCAUAACUGACACUGAGAGACGAAAGCCAGGGGAGCAAACGGG
rnacentral:rRNA from 1 species